GUCGAGAAUCAUUCGCAAUGGACGAAAGUCUGACGAUGCGACGCCGCGUGAGGGAUGAAGGCCUUCGGGUUGUAAACCUCUGUCACAGGGGAAGAAACCUCUAGUGAUUAAUACUCACUAGAAUUGACGGUACCCUGAGAGGAAGCUCCGGCUAACUCCGUGCCAGCAGCCGCGGUAAUACGGGGGGAGCAAGCGUUGUUCGGAUUCACUGGGCGUAAAGGGAGUCUAGGUGGCUAGAUAAGUUGGACGUGAAAGCCCUCGGCUCAACCGGGGAAUUGCUUCCAAAACUGUUUAGCUUGAGUGUAAGAGAGGAAAGUGGAAUUCCUAGUGUAGCGGUGAAAUGCGUAGAUAUUAGGAGGAAUACCGGUGGCGAAGGCGGCUUUCUGGCUUAACACUGACACUAAAGCUCGAAGGCUAGGGGAGCAAACAGG
rnacentral:rRNA from 1 species